rnacentral:ncRNA from 2 species
CUCUUAUCACGAGAGGCGGAGGGACUGGCCCUAUGAAGCCCGGCAACCAUCAAACAUUGUUUGAAAGGUGCCAAAUCCUGCUAAGUCUAAGACUUAGAUAGAUGAGAG